rnacentral:rRNA from 1 species
AUGAACGCUGGCGGCGUGCUUAACACAUGCAAGUCGAACGAAACACCUUAUUUGAUUUUCUUCGGAACUGAAGAUUUGGUGAUUGAGUGGCGGACGGGUGAGUAACGCGUGGGUAACCUGCCCUGUACAGGGGGAUAACAGUCAGAAAUGACUGCUAAUACCGCAUAAGACCACAGCACCGCAUGGUGCAGGGGUAAAAACUCCGGUGGUACAGGAUGGACCCGCGUCUGAUUAGCUGGUUGGGGAGGUAACGGCUCACCAAGGCGACGAUCAGUAGCCGGCUUGAGAGAGUGAACGGCCACAUUGGGACUGAGACACGGCCCAAACUCCUACGGGAGGCAGCAGUGGGGAAUAUUGCACAAUGGGGGAAACCCUGAUGCAGCGACGCCGCGUGAGUGAAGAAGUAUUUCGGUAUGUAAAGCUCUAUCAGCAGGGAAGAAAAUGACGGUACCUGACUAAGAAGCCCCGGCUAACUACGUG